UACGUAGGGGGCAAGCGUUGUCCGGCAUCAUUGGGCGUAAAGCGCGUGUAGGCGGCUCGGUAAGUCUGCUGUGAAAGUCCAGGGCUCAACCCUGGGAUGCCGGUGGAUACUGUCGGGCUCGAGUCCGGAAGAGGCGAGUGGAAUUCCUGGUGUAGCGGUGAAAUGCGUAGAGAUCGGGAGGAACACCCGUGGCGAAGGCGGUUCACUGGGCCACACCUGACGCUGAGGCACGAAGGCGUGGGGAGCGAACGGG
rnacentral:rRNA from 1 species